rnacentral:rRNA from 1 species
UACAGAGGAUGCAAGCGUUAUCCGGAAUGAUUGGGCGUAAAGCGUCUGUAGGUGGCUUUUUAAGUCCGCCGUCAAAUCCCAGGGCUCAACUCUGGACAGGCGGUGGAAACUACCAAGCUUGAGUACGGUAGGGGCAGGAGGGAAUUUCCGGUGGAGGCGGUGAAAUGCGUGAGAGAUCAUGAGGAAGACCAGUGGCGAAGGCGGGUCUCUGGACAGUUCCUGACACUGAGACACGAAGGCCAGGGAGCAAACGGGG